GGAAGUGUGCCCGAGCACCCAAGGGUCACUAUGAUAAAGUGAACACAGAGGUACACCAGCCCUCUCACUUCCU
rnacentral:tRNA from 2 species